AUUGAACGCUGGCGGCAUGCUUUACACAUGCAAGUCGAACGGCAACACGGGGGCAACCCUGGUGGCGAGUGGCGAACGGGUGAGUAAUACAUAGGAACGUAUCCUGAAAUGGGGGAUAGCUCGGCGAAAGCCGGAUUAAUACCGCAUACGAUCUACGGAUGAAAGCAGGGGAUUCGCAAGAACCUUGCGUUUCUGGAGCGGCCUAUGUCUGAUUAGCUAGUUGGCGGGGUAAAAGCCCACCAAGGCGACGAUCAGUAGCUGGUCUGAGAGGAUGAUCAGCCACACUGGGACUGAGACACGGCCCAGACUCCUACGGGAGGCAGCAGUGGGGAAUUUUGGACAAUGGGGCAACCCUGAUCCAGCCAUGCCGCGUGAGUGAAGAAGGCCUCGG
rnacentral:rRNA from 1 species